UACAGAGGGUGCAAGCGUUAAUCGGAAUUACUGGGCGUAAAGCGUGCGUAGACGGUAGCGUAAGUCGGGUGUGAAAGCCCCGGGCUCAACCUGGGAAUUGCAUUCGAGACUGCUCUGCUAGGGUGCGGAAGAGGGAAGCGGAAUUUCCGGUGUAGCGGUGAAAUGCGUAGAGAUCGGGAGGAACAUCAGUUGCGAAGGCGGCUCUCUGGACCAGCACUGACACUGAGGCACGAAAGCGUGGGGAGCAAACAGG
rnacentral:rRNA from 1 species